GCAGUGGUAACUCAGUGGUAGAGUGUGAGAUGUAUGAUCUCGAAGUCCCGCGUUCAAGUCGCGGUCAUUGCU
rnacentral:tRNA from 1 species